rnacentral:rRNA from 1 species
AUUGAACGCUGGCGGCAUGCUUUACACAUGCAAGUCGAACGGUAACAGGCCUUCGGGUGCUGACGAGUGGCGAACGGGUGAGUAAUGCAUCGGAACGUGCCCAGAGGUGGGGGAUAACGCAGCGAAAGCUGUGCUAAUACCGCAUGUGAUCUGAGGAUGAAAGCGGGGGACCAGGCAGCAAUGUUUGGCCUCGCGCCUUUGGAGCGGCCGAUGUCAGAUUAGGUAGUUGGUGGGGUAAAGGCCUACCAAGCCGACGAUUUGUAGCUGGUCUGAGAGGACGACCAGCCACACUGGGACUGAGACACGGCCCAGACUCCUGCGGGAGGCAGCAGUGGGGAAUUUUGGACAAUGGGCGAAAGCCUGAUCCAGCAAUGCCGCGUGCGGGAAGAAGGCCUUCGGGUUGUAAACCGCUUUUGUACGGAACGAAAAGGCUCUGGCUAAUACCUGGGGCUGAUGACGGUACCGUAAGAAUAAGCACCGGCUAACUACGUG